UGCUCUGGAGGUCAGAGACCUUAAAUUAGUAGCUGCGGCUCAGAGCAGCAGGUAAAGGAUUAAAAUGCUGGGACGCCUCUUUCUUCUCGGAUGUUUGGUGACCAGUGAAGGCUGCUGUGAGUCAAACGACCUUCGUUUUAUCUGCAGCAGCAGCACUGGUUCUGAGAAGUGGACGGCUCCUCGGUGAAUAUGGGAUGUAAUGAAUCCAGAUGCAGGACUUCAGCCGGUUCAGACGAAGUGAAGGAGUCUGUUUCCUAUAAACACGAAACACAGGAGUUUGUGAAGGACGCACGCGAGGCUGAGUGUCUUCUAAGUUCAGCUGACUGCUGCCCGUCGGCUCCUCCUGCCGCCAGCAGGGCGGUGCUGGACUUUGCCCAGAGGAUGUCAGAGGACGUGGUUGCUCAGGCUCUGCAGCUCUGCUGGGAGGUGAAGAUUCGAUACGAGGAGCUGCCUUUCAUCGACACUGAAUGUGAAUAUAUGAUAUGAAGAGACAGGAGCUUCAUGCGCCUGGACAGAAGCCGUGCUUAAGAUGAAACUGGUGAAAAUGCCGGGACGUCACCUGAACCUGUAAUUUUACAGGAAUGUAGCUGCUCGUCGCAGAUCUUCUGUCCACACCUGAAGUGUUUUGUCAUUUCAUAACGAGACAAGUUUCAGUCAAGAAUAAGAUGAUUUUGUUUUCAGUGGCAGAUUCAUCAUGUUAACCUCUAAUGAGCCUGUGUGAGCUUUAUCCUCCUGCUUUCUACCACUUGAUGUCACUAGCGACUAGAUUUCUCCCGCUCACCCACACAAAGACAUGUUGAAAGACGCUAACUUUAUGUUUUUCUGCCAUGAACUAAUAAUUCCCAGCAAAUAACCCAUGAACAGGUGGUAAACACGGAGCCGACCGUAUGUCGGAGAAUGACGUGGGAAAAUGACAUGUGUGAGACACUCGUUGAACAGGACGACCUCGUCCUUCACCUUGUUUACUGUACAGAGUUUCUGUAGAGAUGAAACGUAAUCAGAGUCGGGUUCAGGCAAUGAGAGGAUUUCAUGUCAGCAACAACAACAAAAAACUAUUUUCAUUUGAUGCAUGUUUUAAAAUCCACAUUUUACGACUGACUAUACAUAUAUGUCCAAGAGAGCCUUUAUAUUAACAUAUGUGUCAAUGCGUGAUGAAGUUGUGUAACUUUAAGGAUGUUACUUUAUUUUCUAACUCAUUACAUCUGUUCCUGUCGUUUGACAGUAAGACUUUCUGCACUCGUUACCUUUUUAUGCCCACGUACGAAACUAUUUGAAUCCAGUUUUCCAGUCCAAGCAGGCAGGCAGACAGUCUCCUCAUCUGACUUUCACCUUAACCGACUCUGCAGCCACACCCCAGGGUGUGGAUCACAGAUGCGUUCUAUGCGUUUCGUUCACAACAAAGAAGCUCAUCUGGGAGGUCUCAGUAAUCCAGGCCAUAAAGGACUUGUUUCUACAAGAAAACGCUUUGACUUUCAUUCACUUUUUAAUCCUUCAAACUGGGCUUGUAAAGAAAUGAUCGUACACCAGGAGACGGUUCAGUUUUUUAUUCCGUUUAAGAGCAGAAACACACCUUAAACCAUUUUCAUUGUGCAUAAACUGAUACACUACAGAGUGUUCACUCUUUCAGUUUAAAGCUUGUUUGGUUACGAUAAACGAAGGUUCAGAGUCAGGUUAGUGUAAACUGCCUUCACAUCAUCUAUCUUUUAACAAAUGUUUCAUAGGAAAAGUAGUUUUCAGGAGGUCGGCUGGUCUUCUCCCUGGAAGGAUGAAAUAAGACACAAAUAAAAUGAGGGUUUCUGUGAGUAAUCCA